rnacentral:rRNA from 1 species
ACUACGGGAGGCUGCAGUGAGGAAUAUUGGUCAAUGGGCGUAAGCCUGAACCAGCCAAGUCGCGUGAGGGAUGAAGGUUCUAUGGAUCGUAAACCUCUUUUAUAAGGGAAUAAAGUGUGGGACGUGUCCUAUUUUGUAUGUACCUUAUGAAUAAGGAUCGGCUAACUCCGUGCCAGCAGCCGCGGUAAAACGGAGGAUCCGAGCGUUAUCCGGAUUUAUUGGGGUUAAAGGGUGCGUAGGCGGCCUUUUAAGUUAGCGGUUAAAGUCUGUUGCUCAACCAUAGAAUUGCCGUUGAAACUGGGGGGCUUGAGUUUGUUUGAGGCAGGCGGAAUGCGUGGUGUAGCGGUGAAAUGCUUAGAUAUCACGCAGAACCCCGAUUGCGAAGGCAGCCUGCCAAGCCAUGACUGACGCUGAUGCACGAAAGCGUGGGGAUCAAACAGGAUUAGAUACCCUUGUAGUC